CCUAGUUAAUCCUGCCUGUAGUCAUAUGCUUGCCUUAAAGAUUAAGCCAUCCAUGUACAAGUCUGAACUAAUUCAGACCUUGAAAUUGUGAAUUGCUUAUUAAAUCGGUUAUAGUUUGUUUGACGUUAUCUACUACUCGUGUAAUCAUAGUAAUUCUAAAGCUAAUACAUGCAACAAAUCUUGACUUCUAGAAAGGAUGCAUUUAUUAGAUAAAUGGUUGACAUGGGCUUUGCCUGUUGCUUUGAUGAUUAUGAUAACUCAAAAGAUUACAUGGCCUUUGUGCCAACGAUACAUCAUUCAAAUUUUUACCCUAUCGAAUUUUGAUGGUAGGAUAGUAGCCUGUUACGGUGGUGAUGUGUGAUGAAGAAUUAGGGUUUGAUUCCAAAGAGGGAGCUUGAAAAACGGCUACCACAUCCAAGAAAGGCAAAUUACCCAAUCUUGACAUAGGAAGGUAAUGACAAUAAAUAACAACACCAGGCUCAUAAAUGGAAUGAGAACAAUCUAAAUCCCUUAACGAGGAUCCAUUGGCAAUUGUGGUAAUUCUAGCUUUAAUAACAUAUAUUUAAGUUGUUGUAGUUAAAAAGCUCAUAGUUGGAACUAGGGUCGGAUCAUCUGGUCUACCUUAUGAUGAGCACUAUCCACUCAUCCUUACUACCGACAAUGUGCUCUUGGCCAGAACUAGCCAGGUCGUUCCUCUAGCGCUAUUACUUUGAAAAAAUUAGAGUGCCCAAAGUAGGCCUACACUUGUAUACAUUAGUAUGGGAUAACAUCAAAGGAUUUUAGUCCUAUUGUGCUGGCCUUCAAGAUCAGAGCAAUGAUUAACAGAGACAGUCAGGGGCAUUCAUAUUUCAUAAUCGAAGGUGAAAUUCUUGGAUUUAUGAAAGAUGAACAACUACGAAAGAAUUUGCCAAGUAUGUUUUCAUUAAUCAAGAAUAAAAGUUGAGGGCUCGAAACUCUGGGUCGCAUGCACACUACACUAAUGUAUUCAAUGAGUCUAUAGGCUUGGACAAUAGGCCUAAGUAAUCUGUGAAAUGUUAUUUUGAUGGGGAUAGAUCGUUGCAAUUGUUGGUCUUCAACAAGGAAUUCUUAGUAAGCACGUGUCAUCAGCUCACCUUGACUAUGUUCUUGACCUUUUCACACAUUGCCCAUCACUCUUACUGAUUGAAUGGUCAGGCAAAGUGUUUGGAUUAUAGCGACAUAGACAGUUUGUUGCCUAUGACAUCACGAGAAGUCAAUUAAACCUUAUCAUUUAGAGGAAGGAGAGUUGUAACAAGGCUUCCGUAGGUGAACCUACGAAAGCAACAUUG
rnacentral:rRNA from 1 species